CAGCAGCCGCGGGAAUACGAAGGGGGCCAGCGUUGUUCGGAUUUACUGGGCGUAAAGCGCACGUAGGCGGAUCGAUCAGUCAGGGGUGAAAUCCCAGAGCUCAACUCUGGAACUGCCUUUGAUACUGUCGAUCUGGAGUAUGGAAGAGGUGAGUGGAAUUCCGAGUGUAGAGGUGAAAUUCGUAGAUAUUCGGAGGAACACCAGUGGCGAAGGCGGCUCACUGGUCCAUUACUGACGCUGAGGUGCGAAAGCGUGGGGAGCAAACAGGAUUAGAUACCCCCGUAGUCCCUGUCUCUUAUAC
rnacentral:rRNA from 1 species